rnacentral:rRNA from 1 species
AUGGUGACCGUGGUGUCGUCGCGCACGGUGAGGCCGCCGCUGCGGCCGCGCCGCCGCAUCCCGCUCACCACCUGGGACGUCCCCAUGCUCUCCGCCAACUACAUCCAGAAGGGCCACCUCUUCCACAAGCCCACGGGCACGCUCCUCCCCACCGCCGCCCACGUCGUCGACCACCUCGCCGCCGCCCUCGCCGACGCGCUCGUCCACUACUACCCCGUCGCCGGCCGCUUCGUCACCGACCAGCACUACGGCGACGGUGAACAGGGCGACGUUGUCGUGGGAUGCUCCGUCUCCAUCGACUGCGACGGGCAGGGCGUCCAGGUUGUCCACGCCGUCGCCGAUGACGGCGUCACCAUGGCGGACGUGGUUCCUCCCGACGUGGACGUGCCGCCCGUGCUUCAGUCAUUCUUCCUGCUCGAUGGCGCUAUCAACUACGACGGCCGCAACCACCCGCUCCUCGCCGUGCAGGUCACCGACCUCGCCGACGGCGUCUUCGUUGGCUUCUCCUACAACCACGCGCUCUCCGACGGCACCGCCUUCUGGGGCUUCAUCAACGCCUGGGCCGAGAUCGCGCGCGCCAGGCUCCUCGGUUCCCCGCGGGAGCAGCCCUUACGCCGGCCCUUGCUCGACCGCUGGUCACCCGAUGGAGGCGCCGCGGCGCCGGUCGUGCUGCCGUGCACGGAACUGUCCGACCUCAUCGAGCGCACCCCACAGACGCUGCUGCGCGAGCGGAUGCUCCACUUCUCGUCGGAGUCGCUGGCGGCGCUCAAGGAGCGGGCACGCCAGGAGCUCUUGGCCACCGGCGACGCGCAGGGUGCCGCCGCCCUGACCAGGUUUCAGGCGCUGACCUCGCUCCUAUGGCGUUGCAUCACCCGCGCACGGCGGCUGUCGCCGGAAAAGGAGACCACGUGCCGCGUGGCCAUCAACAACCGCGGGCGGCUCCGGCCACAGCUGCCGGCGGAGUACUUCGGCAACGCCAUCAGCACCAUCAGCACGGAGGCGGUGCGCGCACCGGAGCUGCUGGAGCGCGGGCACGGGUGGGCAGCGGCGGCCGUCGGGCGCGCGGUGGCGGCGCACACAGACGCGGUCAUCAGGGAGCGGGUGGCGGCCUUGACGGCGAAACCGCCGGAGAGAGACCCGCCGGCGUACAUGAUGAGCUGGCACGAUCCAUGCGGGACGCUGAUGGGGAGCUCGCCGCGGUUCGAUAUGUUCGGGUGUGACUUCGGGUUGGGGAAGCCGGUGGCGGCGCGGAGCGGCAAGGCGAACAAGGUCGACGGGGGCACGUCGUUGUACCCAUGUCCUGAUGGGGGAGGCAGCAUGGACGCGGAGCUCACGCUCACGCCGGAGCACAUGGCCGUGCUCGAGGAGGACGAGGAGUUCUGGGCCGCCGUCUCGCCGGACGCGCCGGCACAGGUGGGGAAUGUUUGA